AUUGAACGCUGGCGGCAGGCCUAACACAUGCAAGUCGAACGAGUGGCGGACGGGUGAGUAAUGUUUGGGAAUCUGCCUGAUGGAGGGGGAUAACUACUGGAAACUGUGGCUAAUACCGCGUACCAUAGGAUGAACCCAUAUGGGAUUAGCUAGUGGGUGGGGUAAAGGCCUACCCAGGCGACGAUCUCUAGCUGGUCUGAGAGGAUGACCAGCCACACUGGGACUGAGACAGGGCCCGGACUCCUACGUGAGGCAGCAGUGGGGAAUAUUGCUCAAUGGGGGCAAGCCUGACGCAGCCAUGCCGCGUGUAUGAAGAAGGCCUUCGGGUUGUAAAGUUCUUUCAGCGAGGAGGCGUUAACCGCAGAAGAAGCACCGGCUAACUCCGUGCCAGCAGCCGCGGUAAUAC
rnacentral:rRNA from 1 species